rnacentral:rRNA from 1 species
CCUACGGGAGGCAGCAGUGGGGAAUUUUGGACAAUGGGCGCAAGCCUGAUCCAGCAAUGCCGCGUGCAGGAUGAAGGCCUUCGGGUUGUAAACUGCUUUUGUACGGAACGAAACGGUGAGCUCUAAUACAGUUUGCUAAUGACGGUACCGUAAGAAUAAGCACCGGCUAACUACGUGCCAGCAGCCGCGGUAAUACGUAGGGUGCGAGCGUUAAUCGGAAUUACUGGGCGUAAAGCGUGCGCAGGCGGUGAUGUAAGACAGAUGUGAAAUGCCCGGGCUCAACCUGGGACCUGCAUUUGUGACUGCAUCGCUAGAGUACGGUAGAGGGGGAUGGAAUUCCGCGUGUAGCAGUGAAAUGCGUAGAUAUGCGGAGGAACACCGAUGGCGAAGGCAAUCCCCUGGACCUGUACUGACGCUCAUGCACGAAAGCGUGGGGAGCAAACAGGAUUAGAUACCCUGGUAGUCCACGCCCUAAACGAUGUCAACUGGUUGUUGGGUCUUCACUGACUCAGUAACGAAGCUAACGCGUGAAGUUGACCGCCUGGGGAGUACGGCCGCAAGGUUGAAACUCAAAUGAAUUGACGG